CAGCCGCCACGGUAAUACGUAGGUGGCAAGCGUUGUCCGGAAUUAUUGGGCGUAAAGGGCUCGCAGGCGGUUUCUUAAGUCUGAUGUGAAAGCCCCCGGCUCAACCGGGGAGGGUCAUUGGAAACUGGGAAACUUGAGUGCAGAAGAGGAGAGUGGGAUUCCACGUGUAGCGGUGAAAUGCGUAGAGAUGUGGAGGAACACCAGUGGCGAAGGCGACUCUCUGGUCUGUAACUGACGCUGAGGAGCGAAAGCGUUGGGAGCGAACAGGAUUAGAUACCACAGUAGUCCCUGUCUCUUAUAA
rnacentral:rRNA from 1 species